GUGCUCACUUCGGCAGCGCAUAUACUAAAAUUGGAACGAUAUAGAGAAGAUUAGCAUGGCCCCUGCGCAAGGAUGACAUACAAAUUCAUGAAGCAUUCCAUAUUUUU
ensembl:snRNA U6 U6 spliceosomal RNA